UACGGGGGGAGCAAGCGUUGUUCGGAUUUACUGGGCGUAAAGGGCGCGUAGGCGGCCACUGCAAGUCGGUUGUGAAAUCUCCGGGCUUAACCCGGAAAGGUCAACCGAUACUGCAGGGCUAGAGUGCAGAAGGGGCAACUGGAAUUCUCGGUGUAGCGGUGAAAUGCGUAGAGAUGCGGAGGAACACCAGUGGCGAAAGCGGCUUUCUGGUCCUUAACUGACGCUGAGGCGCGAAAGCAUGGGGAGCGAACGGG
rnacentral:rRNA from 1 species